rnacentral:ncRNA from 1 species
AGAUUCCCUCUGUCCCUAUCUACUAUCUAGCGAAACCACGGCCAAGGGAACGGGCUUGGAAAAAUCAGCGGGGAAAGAAGACCCUGUUGAGCUUGACUCUAGUCUGGUACUGUAAGAAAACAUGAGAGGUGUAGCAUAAGUGGGAGGUAGUUUUUUUAAACUGCCGACAAUGAAAUACCACUACUUUCAUUGUUUCCUUACUUACUCGGUGAGGCGGAGGGCGUCCGUCGGGGUGAUACCACCUCGGCGUGACGGUAUUCUCGUGCCAAACGCCAAGGGUUGUCGACGUUCGAUCGUACGCCUUGUCGCGUUUAAGAUGUGGAUAUUCCUAAACGGAAUUGAUGCGUCUUAUUCGUUGUGCAAUGGCGGAUUCGGUCGUAUCGUUCGGCAACAUACUCCCUAGCGUGAUCCGAUUCGAGGACACUGCCAGGCGGGGAGUUUGACUGGGGCGGUACAUCUGUCAAAAAAUAACGCAGGUGUCCUAAGGUCAGCUCAGCGAGGACAGAAACCUCGCGUAGAGCAAAAGGGCAAAUGCUGGCUUGAUCCCGAUGCUCAGUGGGCAUAGGGACUGCGAAAGCACGGCCCAUCGAUCCUUUUGGCUUGAAGAGUUUUCAGCAAGAGGUGUCAGAAAAGUUACCACAGGGAUAACUGGCUUGUGGCGGUCCAAGCGUUCAUAGCGACGUCGCUUUUUGAUCCUUCGAUGUCGGCUCUUCCUAUCAUUGCGAAGCAGAAUUCGCCAAGCGUCGGAUUGUUCACCCGCCAAUAGGGAACGUGAGCUGGUUUUAGACCGUCGUGAGACAGGUUAGUUUUACCCUACUGAUAACAGGUCGUUGCCGUAGUAAUCCUGCUUAGUACGAGAGGAACCGCAGGUUCGGGCAUUUGGUACACGCACUCGGUCGACAGGCCGGUGGUGCGAUGCCACCGUCCGCGGGAUUAUGCCUGAACGCCUCUAAGGCCGAAUCCCGACUAUGGUUCAACGAUUUAACAAUGGGUCCCGUGAGUCGAAAGGCUCAAAACAAUGUGACUUUAAUAGGCGGCCGGUUUAAACGGCUGUCGCCUGAGCCUUGUGGCUAAAAAUUCCAUUGUGUAAUUAAAUAUAUAGUAAAUUCUAGAUAUUUAAUUGGUUUUUUUAGCGUAACAUGGUUGAACCCUUCGGGGAGUUCGAUGUCGGGACCCAGAAUCGUCUGUAGACGACUUUUGUACCGGGCGGGGUGUUGUACUCGGGAGAGCAGUUAACUCGCUGCGAUCUGUUGAGACUCAGCCCUAGCUGGGGAGAUUCGU